UACGUAGGUGGCAAGCGUUGUCCGGAAUUAUUGGGCGUAAAGCGCGCGUAGGCGGUUUUCCAAGUUGGAGGUGAAAUCCCGGGGCUUAACUCCGGAACUGCCUUCAAAACUGGAUGACUAGAGUUCGAGAGAGGCAAGGGGAAUUCCUAGUGUAGAGGUGAAAUUCGUAGAUAUUAGGAAGAACACCAGUGGCGAAGGCGCCUUACUGGCUCGAUACUGACGCUGAGGUGCGAAAGUGUGGGGAGCAAACAGG
rnacentral:rRNA from 1 species